rnacentral:misc_RNA from 1 species
GAUGAAGAACGCAGCGAAAUGCGAUAAGUAAUGUGAAUUGCAGAAUUCAGUGAAUCAUCGAAUCUUUGAACGCACCUUGCACCCUUUGGCUAUUCCGAAGGGUAUGCCUGUUUGAGUAUCAUGAACACCUCAACUCUCAUGGUUUGCCAUGAUGAGCUUGGACUUUGGGGGUCUUGCUGGCCUGUGGUCAGCUCCUCUCAAAUGGAUUAGCUUGCCAGUGUUUUGUGGCAUCACAGGUGUGAUAACUAUCUACGCUUGUGGUUUUCCACCAGGUAACCUUCAGCAAUGGGGGUUCGCUGGGGCUCAUAAAUGUCUCUCCUCAGUGAGGACAGCUCUUUGAACGUUUGAUCUCAAAUCAGGUAGGACUACCCGCUGAACUUAAGCAUAUCAAUAAGCGGAGGA